GUGGGGAAUAUUGGGCAAUGGGCGAAAGCCUGACCCAGCAACGCCACGUGAAGGAAGAAGGUUUUCGGAUCGUAAACUUCUAUCCUUGGUGAAGAUAAUGACGGUAGCCAAGAAGGAAGCCCCGGCUAACUACGUGCCAGCAGCCGCGGUAAUACGUAGGGGGCAAGCGUUGUCCGGAAUGAUUGGGCGUAAAGGGCGCGUAGGCGGCCCGGUAAGUCUGAAGUGAAAGUCCUGCUUUUAAGGUGGGAAUUGCUUUGGAUACUGUCGGGCUUGAGUGCAGGAGAGGUAAGCGGAAUUCCCGGUGUAGCGGUGAAAUGCGUAGAGAUCGGGAGGAACACCAGUGGCGAAGGCGGCUUACUGGACUGUAACUGACGCUGAGGCGCGAAAGUGUGGGGAGCAAACAGGAUUAGAUACCCCGGUAGUCC
rnacentral:rRNA from 1 species